rnacentral:misc_RNA from 1 species
AAGUCGUAACAAGGUCUCCGUUGGUGAACCAGCGGAGGGAUCAUUACAGAGUGUAAAAACUCCCAAACCCACUGUGAACCUACCUCGCGUUGCCUCGGCGGGCCGCCCCGCGUCUCCGGACGGCGGGGUUCCGCCGGCGGCCCACGAAACUCUUGUCAGUAUAUUUGGCAUCUCUGAACGCAAACGAAAUCAGUUAAAACUUUCAACAACGGAUCUCUUGGUUCUG